rnacentral:rRNA from 1 species
GCCAUGCCGCGUGCAGGAUGACGGUCCUAUGGAUUGUAAACUGCUUUUGUACAGGAAGAAACACUACUUCGUGAAGUAGCUUGACGGUACUGUAAGAAUAAGGAUCGGCUAACUCCGUGCCAGCAGCCGCGGUAAUACGGAGGAUCCGAGCGUUAUCCGGAAUCAUUGGGUUUAAAGGGUCCGUAGGCGGUUUAGUAAGUCAGUGGUGAAAGCCCAUCGCUCAACGGUGGAACGGCCAUUGAUACUGCUAAGCUUGAAUUAUUAAGAAGUAACUAGAAUAUGUAUUGUAGCGGUGAAAUGCUUAGAGAUUACAUGGAAUACCAAUUGCGAAGGCAGGUUACUACUAAGAUAUUGACGCUAAUGGACGAAAGCGUGGGUAGCGAACAGGAUUAGAUACCCUGGUAGUCCACGCCGUACACGAUGGAUACUAGCUGUUGGGCGCAAGUUCAUUGGCUAAGCGAAAGUGAUAAGUAUCCCACCUGGGGAGUACGUUCGCAAGAAUGAAACUCAUAGGAAUUGACGGGGGCCCGCACAAGCGGUGGAGCAUGUGGUUUAAUUCGAUGAUACCCGAGGAACCUUACCAAGGCUUAAAUGUAGAUUGACCGGUUUGGAAAC